UGGGUUUGACAUGCAGGGAAAAGCCGUAGAGAUACGGUGUCCGUAAGGGCCUUGCACAGGUGGUGCAUGGCUGUCGUCAGCUCGUGUCGUGAGAUGUUGGGUUAAGUCCCGCAACGAGCGCAACCCUUGUCCUAUGUUGCCAGCGGGUAAUGCCGGGGACUCGUAGGAGACUGCCGGGGUCAACUCGGAGGAAGGUGGGGAUGACGUUCCUUACAGCGUAC
rnacentral:misc_RNA from 1 species